CAAAAUCGUACAAGCUCCUAUAUAUUUGAUUUUUUCUGGCACAUAUUAAGGAAUUAAAUGCAUCUUUAACUGAACCGGCGAAAAGUGGUCUUUUUAUUCCACUACAAGGGAUAACCUUGAUCGUUAAUUACCGGAUGUGCAGUAGAGAUCAUGUUUGUGAGUGCAGAAGCAGAUGUUGCAAACGACGUAGUAAGUCUUUCCGGGAUCGCAUUUCACGCCCAUGUGCGGAAGCUCCGGGAGAUCGACUACAGACCGCGUCUCCAUUUCCGAUAUUUCUUUAUCACUGAACCGAUCUGAAAAAAAAACGUUAAUAUCUUAUCUGUCCUAGCCA